ensembl:rRNA 5S_rRNA 5S ribosomal RNA
UAUGCCAGCAGCUAGCUCUCUGCAACUUUUACUUGGUCGCCCACUAAAGCUAAGCAGGGCUGCGCCCAAUCAGUACCUAGAUGGGAGACCACAUGGGGAAGCUAGGUUGCUGCCAGAA